rnacentral:rRNA from 1 species
UACGUAGGGUGCGAGCGUUGUCCGGAAUUACUGGGCGUAAAGGGCUCGUAGGCGGCCAACUAAGUCAGACGUGAAAUCCCUCGGCUUAACCGGGGAACUGCGUCUGAUACUGGAUGGCUCGAGUUUGGGAGAGGGAUGCGGAAUUCCAGGUGUAGCGGUGAAAUGCGUAGAUAUCUGGAGGAACACCGGUGGCGAAGGCGGCAUCCUGGACCAACACUGACGCUGAUGAGCGAAAGCCAGGGGAGCAAACGGG